CGAAGAUGGAUGGAGCGGUGAUACGUGUAAAACAGCAUGUACGACUGGUCGCUACGGUUCAGACUGCAGAGAGACGUGUGGACAUUGUUUAAAUGGAAAUCCUGAAUGUGGCACGGAGACUGGACACUGUUCUAAAGGAUGUAAAUCUGGUUGGAGCAGUGACACAUGUAAAACAGCAUGUACGACUGGUCGCUACGGUUCAGACUGCAGGGAGACGUGCGGGCAAUGUUUAAAUGGUCAUACAGAAUGUCACACGGAGACUGGACGCUGUUCUAAUGGAUGUACUGCUGGAUGGAGCGGAG